rnacentral:rRNA from 1 species
AUACCUAACGGCUGAACCAGCAACUUGGAGGAAUGUAUAGGUAAAGCUAAAUGUAUUUUUUAGUAGUAAUACAUAUUCGAUUUAUUCGUAUAAAGUUCUAGAUAGAAUUAUGAUAAUGACAUUGUCUAUCUAUAGGUCUUGGCCAAACUACGUGCCAGCAGUCGCGGUAAGACGUAAAAGACUAGUGUUAUUCAUCUUUAAUAGGUUUAAAGCGUACCUAGACGGUAAAUCAAGCCUUAAGGGGACUAAUUUAACUAGAGUUAGAUGUAAGGGUGCAUAAACGUACUGUUGUGUGUAGAGAUGAAAUUCUUUUAUACCAGAUUAUUGGCACGGGUUAAGGCGAAAGCAUCACCUUAUGUAAUAACUGACGUUGAGAGACGAAGGCUUUGUGUCGCGAACAGGAUUAGAUACCCUAGUAGUCUAAGCAGAAAAUGAUGAGUGUCAUAGGCUAAAUAUUAUUUGGUCUAUAAAUGAAAGUGUAAGCAUUCCACCUCAAGAGUAAUUUGGCAACAUUGGAAUUGAAAUCAUUAGACCGUUUUUGAAACCAGUAGUGAAGUAUGUUGUUUAAUUAGAUAAUUCACCAAGGACCCUUACCACAAUUUGAAUAUUUUACAAGUGUUGCACGGCUGUUUUCCAGUUAAUGUCGUGAGAUUAUGGUUGGUUCCAUUAAAUUAACGUAAACCCUUACUUUAUUUUAUAAAAUAUAAAGUUGUUCGCCGCUAGAUUGGUUAGAUAAAAGGGACUAAGACAAGUCAUCAUGGCCUUAAUAUUGUGGGCUACAGACGUGCCACAUAUGCCUAACAAA